rnacentral:sRNA from 1 species
UGCCCUCAUGUCGUUCCCGAUUUCGUCUC